rfam:Arabis alpina cultivar Pajares Aa.chr8_contig_2988, whole genome shotgun sequence.
AGGCAAUGAUGUGUUAGUCGUGCACCACUCUGAUAUAGAUCCUUCUAGGAUCCUGUGCUGAGAAUUCUCUCUACCCAUUAUUUCUCUGAGCCU